UACGUAGGGCGCAAGCGUUAUCCGGAAUUAUUGGGCGUAAAGAGCUCGUAGGCGGUCUGUUGCGUCGGCUGUGAAAACCCGGGGCUCAACUCCGGGCCUGCAGCCGAUACGGGCAGACUAGAGUUCGGCAGGGGAGACUGGAAUUCCAGGUGUAGCGGUGAAAUGCGUAGAUAUCUGGAGGAACACCGGUGGCGAAGGCGGCAUCCUGGACCGGCAUUGACGCUGAGGCGCGAAAGCUAGGGGAGCAAACGGG
rnacentral:rRNA from 1 species